ensembl:lncRNA
CCGCGGAUGCGCACUUUAGAAUACUCCAGUACAGCACGUUCUGCCAGUGAUGUCACACAGGGGUGGGUCCCUCCGCGUCGCGACUGGAGAGCCCAGUAACAGCUCUCUCUCCAUUGAAGAAAAAGGUCUCCAGCUAAAAAUUUCUGAACCAGUGUACGGACAGCCAAUUAGAAAUGCAUAACUGCGUGUGGAUGACUGCCUUGGAGAGUUUCAGCAUCAUGAUAACUUCCAUUCAGUUGACUUUGCAACAGGUGGACAUCUCAAGGAUUCCAGCAACAUCUCAAGGAUUCCAGCAACAUCUCAAGGAUUCCAGCAACAUCUCAAGGAUUCCAGCAACAUCUCAAGGAUUCCAGCAACAUCUCAAGGAUGGUCAAAGGACAGAGAAUGCAUUCUGAGCUCAAUUUGGGGUAUCAUGGCAAAAGGUCUGAAUGCUUAUGUACAUGAGGUUUUUCAUUUUCAAUAAAUUGGCACAUAUUUGUAAAAUAUGUUUUUGCUUUGUCAUUAUGGGUUAGUGUGUG